AUGGCCACCAAGUGUUUUGAUUUGGGUGUUGACGAAGUACGAUGACGGCUUAUGACAGACCGCUCCCGACUGAUACGGGUCAAAGAUUUGCCAUGCUUGGUCAACAACAUCGGAGAAUAUCAGACGACGUAGCGUCACUAGAUUCAUGGACAGAUGCCCUGAAUUUGUCUUCAUCAGUAGAAAGAUCAGACGAAAGCCGGCUUUCAGGAAGUGGCAAAGCCCCUCAUGUUGUGAACGUUGAUCCAUACAGACAGUUUGACCACCACAAGGACAGGGGUCCAUCGGUUAUAUCAAGUACCAAUAUUCAGUGUGACGUAGCCGAUGGUGCUGGUCCUAUUACGCGAAGACAUUAUGGCAGGCAAGAGAGUGGAGGUCAACGCGUUCACAUAAAUCAGAAUCCAAUGAGGUAUUCCAACCACCCCCGGACCAGUUUUGUGAAACCUGAUGUACCCCACUCUAGAGGGGUAGCAUCGUGGUUCAAUAAUAUCGCACAGUCAAGUUCACAGUCACCAAAUAUCCAACAAUAUACUAGUAGACCUCAUGCUUUGAGCGCUAGUGCUUACGAUGAAAGAAAUUUCAACAAUUUUGGCAUAUCUGCCCAGUCACGUUUAGGUUUACCACAAACUAGUAUAACCAAUGUUCAACCAACUGAUGUUUCUAGUAGUAGCCAAGGUCACCAGCAAGGAAGAAGAGGCAGCAGUGGUGGGGAGUUCGGAUCUGAAAAUUUGGUGGAUCAGUUGGACAGAGAAGGAGAAAAAUUAAAGACAAAAUUUAUGUCAGCUUGGAAUAAUGUGAAAUACGGCUGGACCCUCAAGACAAAGACAAACUUCAAGUGUGACAGCCCCAUCUUCCUCCUGGGCAAGUGUUAUCAUCGCAGAGGGGAGGGAACAGGCAGCGGUGAGGAGGAUUGCGUGCAGUAUCCAAAAAGUAAUAUCAAAAUCUCCAACAUUGAAGAGUUCCACCAAGACUUUUCCAGUCGGAUGUGGUUCACCUACAGACGAGAGUUCUCUCCCUUGCCUGGCACCAAGAUGACGACAGACUGUGGCUGGGGAUGCAUGCUGCGGAGUGGACAGAUGCUGCUAGCUCAGGGAUUAGUCACACAUUUCCUGGGCAGGGACUGGCGGGUAUAUCAUGAUCCAAAAGCUCAGCAGAAAGCAUUUUACAAGGAGAUUAUACGCUGGUUUUCUGAUCAAAUGUCGGACCAGAUUCCCUUUUCCAUCCACAAACUGGUGGAUGCUGGACAGAGGCUGGGGAAGUCUCCGGGAGACUGGUAUGGCCCAUCAUCGGUGGCGCUCAUACUCAGAGAUGCUCUGAUCAAGGCCAGCAGCAGCCUACCAGUCCUCAAGGAUGUGUGUGUAUAUGUAGCACAAGACUGUACAGUGUACAAACAAGACGUCAUUGACCUCUGUCUCACUCGCCCCAAGUCCAGCAGUCAGCUCAGCACAUGUGAGGAGGAGGAGGAGGAAGAGAAGGCAGGGAGGGAGACUACCACAGAGGAUGGAGAGUGGAAGAGGGCAGUCAUCAUCUUCAUCCCCAUGCGUCUGGGUGGCGAGAGCCUUAACCCAAUUUACAUUCCCUGUGUGAAGAACCUUCUCGCCCAUGAUAACUGUAUUGGCAUCAUUGGCGGUAAGCCCAAGCACUCCUUGUACUUUGUGGGCUGGCAGGAGGACAAGCUCAUCAACCUUGAUCCCCAUUAUUGCCAGGAUGUUGUGGAUACAUCCACCCAGAAUUUCCCUGUUCAGUCUUUCCAUUGUGUCUCACCGAGGAAAUUGUCUUUCACGAAGAUGGACCCAAGCUGUACUGUAGGAUUCUACAUCAAGACUAAGGCAGAGUUUGACAAGUUUGUCAAGUCAGUCAGUGGGAUUGUGAUACCGCCUCUUCAGAAAGGCAUAUACCCACUCUUCAUCUUCUCCGAGGGUCACAGCUCAGACAUCAACAAUGACGAUACGCCCUAUCAGGAACAAGGGCGUCUCAGAAUCCGUCAUUUCCGUGUGGAUCGUCAUGGAAAUGUCCGAUCGCCUACAAUCGAGUCAGAGGAUUUUGUGAUAUUAUGACAUUUUCAUUGCAAUAGUAAUGACUGUUAACAUUUAUUUGAUGUGAGCCAGGACCUGCCUUGUGGGAUCCUCGUGAGAUGAAUGUGGCAUGAUUUUGAAUAUAGUAGAUGUGAUUCAUGUAGAUUGGAUCAUUCAUAUUGGAUGGGGAUAUCUGUGAUACAUUAACAGGGGACUAUAACGUGGAUAUUCUCAGUCUCACUUACUGUAUUUGUGUUAUUGCUGUGCUUUUUAAAUUUUUAUGUUCUGAAAUAAACUUUGGGUUAUAAAAGUUAGAAAUGUCUGAUAGAAAUAAAAAAAUAAAGUUUUGUUGUUUUUCCACGUGGUAUUAAGAUGUUUACUGGGGGAAGCUUUUAAGAAAGUGGGUUGAUUGAACAAUUGAUCGAAUGAAACUGUGGGUGUUGAUUUCUUUAAAUCAGUCUGGUUGUAGACAGAAUUGAGAGGGAACAAGGCACCAGCCAUUUAUUAUAGGGAUGGGGUCAGACAGAAGCAAGGGAUGGUCUUAUGAAAUAUGAGGGUCUCUAUGGGAGGUGGAAAAGGGGACAUUUUGUGAUAAAAUGUUUAGUUUGUUUAAAUGCAUUCUAAUUUCUUGGAAAGUAUGUUUUGGCUUUACCAUUUUUCGUCCUGAAAAAAUUUACUGGGAUAUGGGGAGAGUCAUCCCCAAAACAUUACAAGCAUUAAGGGAGGGUCAUUUGUAUUUUGUAUUUUAGUGUUUGAGUCACCUCCACCCAAUCUCCUUGUAAUAUAUGACUGGGCCUUAAUGCAAAUAUUUCCUUUUUAAUCUGAGUUGAGAAUAAGGCUAUUUUCUCUUUUGUGACUUGAAACUUGAGAGUUACUGAUGAUGUCUGAUUUCAUGAUGAUUAAAAAGUUGAAACUGUUUUUUAAAAAGGAAUAAAUUGUAAUCAGUGAUGAUCCAACAGUGUUAAAAAUCUACAAUUGUUUCUUUCAAAUUCUACUUCUUACCAUAUUGCUAUAGAAUUAUUCAUAAUACAAGGUUUUAAUACUUUUAUAAUAAUGUUUUAUCAUUUGUUAGUCAUGUGUUAAUGCCUGUGAUUUGGUUUCCCAUUCUUUAGUGAUGUUUUACUGGAAUCAGCUGUUACCAUGGUUACAAAGUGGUUGCAUGUAUUAAUCUUGACAUUCUUUAGGAUGGCACUUAAAGCAUCAAUCUUUCAUCUUGUCCACUUUGAAACUUUUCUUACUCAUGGAUGGCUGAAGGUACAUAUCAUUUUCACAGAGUACAUUACGUCCUGGAUAAGGAUUUAUGAGAUGUAUACUUACUGUGUGAAUAGUUCAAUUUCAGGAUGUGUCUCCAUGAUAUUGAUCCAAUGUGAUAGGAAUGGAACUGAAUGUUUUCCAAUUGUAAACUUAUAUUAUUUGUAAAUGUGUGUUAGAAUGAUUUUUCUGUUCACAUUGAUCAUGUAGAAACAUACAGUUUCUUGAUUGGGGUCUAUAUGAUAUGGAUUCAGUGUGAUGUUCAUGGGUAUUUGAACUGUGCAAUAUGACUGUGAUAACUUUUUGCUAGAUUGAUAUAUCAGAUAUAUCAGAUAUGAAGUUCACAUAGCCAGGUCUCUUUCUUCUGUGUUAUCACAGGAUCAACUCACUCAGCCGUUACUAUGGUGAUAUAUUAGAUACUAAGUUCACAUAGCCAGGUCUCUAUCUUCAGUGUUAUCACAUGAUCAACUCACUCAGCCGUUACUAUGGUGAUAUAUUAGAUACUAAGUUCACAUAGCCAGGUCUCUUUCUUCAGUGUUAUCACAUGAUCAGCUCACUCAGCCGUUACUAUGGUGAUAUAUUAGAUACUAAGUUCACAUAGCCAGGUCUCUAUCUUCUGUGUUAUCACAGGAUCAACUCACUCAGCCGUUACUAUGGUGAUAUAUUAGAUACUAAGUUCACAUAGCCAGGUCUCUAUCUUCUGUGUUAUCACAGGAUCAGCUCACUCAGCCGUUACUAUGGUGAUAUAUUAGAUACUAAGUUCACAUAGCCAGGUCUCUUUCUUCAGUGUUAUUACAUGAUCAGCUCACUCAGCCGUUACUAUGGUGAUAUAUUAGAUACUAAGUUCACAUAGCCAGGUCUCUUUCUUCAGUGUUAUUACAGGAUCAGCUCACUCAGCCGUUACUAUGGUGAUAUAUUAGAUACUAAGUUCACAUAGCCAGGUCUCUAUCUUCAGUGUUAUCACAUGAUCAGCUCACUCAGCCGUUACUAUGGUGAUAUAUUAGAUACUAAGUUCACAUAGCCAGGUCUCUUUCUUCAGUGUUAUCACAUGAUCAGCUCACUCAGCCGUUACUAUGGUGAUAUAUUAGAUACUAAGUUCACAUAGCCAGGUCUCUUUCUUCAGUGUUAUCACAUGAUCAACUCACUCAGCCGUUACUAUGGUGAUAUAUUAGAUACUAAGUUCACAUAGCCAGGUCUCUAUCUUCUGUGUUAUCACAGGAUCAAGUCACUCAGCCAUUACUAUGGUGAUAUAUUAGAUACUAAGUUCACAUAGCCAGGUCUCUUUCUUCAGUGUUAUCACAUGAUCAGCUCACUCAGUCGUUACUAUGGUGAUAUAUUAGAUACUAAUUCAUGAAUCUUUGUUCAAUGUCAUGACAGGAUCAGCUCACUCAGUCGUUUGUAGAGUGAUAUAUGAGAUCCUAAGUUCACAUAGUUUGGUCUCUUUCUUCUGUGUUAUAACAGGAUCAGCUCAUUCAGUCAUUACUCUGCUGAUAUAUCAGGUACUGUCACAUGGCCAGGCCUUUUUGAACAGUGUUAUUUGGUAGUCAUUUCACUCGGUUCCAUCUCCCAGUCAUGCUCAUGUCCAGUUUUAUUAUAAUGUACAGAUUCAUGCUGCUCCUUCAAUCUCGGAAACUUUUCCUUUGUUUGUGUUAAUGGCAGAGAGUUUUAAAUGAAUAAUCAUGAUAAUAGUAAGAGAGUGUCACGGGAUUCAACAAAUUAGCUGGUCUGGGUGACAUGUGCAAAUAAAUAACAAGAAAAGCUCAUGGGGCAUACUGAAAAUGAGCCACCUUCUACAAGUUACUGCCACCAUUCGAGUCACUGGUACUUGUCACAGCCUGGCAAUGGAGCAUGGUUUUUAAAUUAUUGUGUUGCAGAUUUUUAUGUCACAGUGACUAUGUUGUGAAUGGCAAUACAUGUAAUUCUGCUUUCACACCACAGCUCUAUGGCUGAUUGUGAUGAGGAUUUGAUGUCAUAGUGAUUCAGUUGUGUUUGGCAACAAUUUUGCUUUCACACCACAGCUCUAUGGCAGAUUAUGAAGAGCAUUUGAUGUCAUAGUCACUGUGUUGUGUUCGGCAACAAUUCUACUGUCACACCACAGCUCUAUGGCUAAUUAUGAUGAGUCAAAAUAAUUCUUCAUACAUUUGGCGUGUAAAAAGUAAAACUGCUGCGUUUUGAAUAAUGACUUUGAAAACUAAAGCUAACAGUAACCUGCUGCUGUGGUCAAGAGAUUUGUUAUAUCAUUGUAUCCGAUGAUGUGACAUUGGUCAGCAAAUCAUUGUGAUGAAAUUUCACUACGGCAAUGUGUCCUGGGAGGUACAAUUUGAUCUCACCCAAGCCAUAUCUCCUGUGGAAGCAAGUUUUGGAGGAAAAUUCACUGUAAUACUGUCAACAUCCUCAAUUUAUUCCUGAUUUGAGUAGCACAGAGUUUUGCCUCUAAGAAUACUUAAAAGCACUAUUUCUCACCACACUUCUCUAAAACAUGAAUAAUGCAUUUCUCUCAAUAAUACUAACUAUCAGCCCCCAGGGAAGCUUCCAUAUAAUUUAUUCCAAAAACA